UACGUAGGGUGCGAGCGUUAAUCGGAAUUACUGGGCGUAAAGCGUGCGCAGGCGGUUCGUUGUGUCCGAUGUGAAAGCCCCGAGCUUAACUUGGGAAUGGCAUUGGAAACUGGCGAGCUGGAGUGUGGCAGAGGGGGGUGGAAUUCCACGUGUAGCAGUGAAAUGCGUAGAGAUGUGGAGGAACACCGAUGGCGAAGGCAGCCCCCUGGGCCAACACUGACGCUCAGGCACGAAAGCGUGGGGAGCAAACAGG
rnacentral:rRNA from 1 species